rnacentral:rRNA from 1 species
UAAGGAAUAUUGGUCAAUGGACGCAAGUCUGAACCAGCCAUGCCGCGUGAAGGAUGAAGGACCUCUGGAUUGUAAACUUCUUUUAUCUGGGACGAAAACGGGAUUUUUAUCUCAAUUGACGGUACCAGAGGAAUAAGCACCAGCUAACUCCGUGCCAGCAGCCGCGGUAAUACGGAGGGUGCGAGCGUUAUCCGGAUUUACUGGGUUUAAAGGGUGCGUAGGUGGGCUUAUAAGUCAGUGGUGAAAUCUCCGAGCUUAACUUGGAAACUGCCGUUGAUACUAUAGGUCUUGAAUUAUCUGGAGGUAAGCGGAAUAUGUCAUGUAGCGGUGAAAUGCUUAGAUAUGACAUAGAACACCAAUUGCGAAGGCAGCUUACUACAUAUAAAUUGACGCUGAGGCACGAAAGCGUGGGGAUCAAACA